rnacentral:ncRNA from 1 species
AAUGUUUUAUUUUAGCAUAAAAAUUUGUUUAUAAUUUAUUUUACAUGUAAAUUUUUGUGAGAAUUAUAAAUUAUUUAAAAAAUAAUUUAUUUUAUUUUAUUCGCAGUGAUUAAUAUUAAUUAUUAAAGAAAUUUAGAUUUAGUAAUAUUAUUUAAUAUUAGCAAAAUUUGUGCCAGCUGCUGCGGUUAGACAAAAAAUAUAAAUGAAUUAGAUUAGAUUAUAAUUAAAUUAAUUUUUUUAUAAAAAAAUUAAAUUUAUUAGGUGAAAUUUUAAGUUUAAUAAAUUAUAUGAAUAAGUUAUUGAAAUUAUGAAAUUUUAAUGAUAAACUAGGAUUAGAUACCCUAUUAUUUAAAAUGUAAAUUAUGAAUCUAGAAUAGUAUUAGUUAUGUUCUUGAAAUUUAAAAAAUUUGGCGGUAUUUUAGUCUAUUCAGAGGAACCUGUUUUAUAAUUGAUAAUCCACGUUGGACCUUACUUAAUUUUGUUUAGUAUGUAUACCGCCGUCGUCAGAAUGUCUUUAAAAAGGAAUAAUUUUCUAAAAUUUUUAAUAAAAAUUAUGUCAGGUCAAGGUGCAGCAUAUAGUUAAGUAAAAAUGGGUUACAAUAAAUAUAUUUUUGGAUAAAAAAUUGAAAUAUUUUUUUGAAAUUGGAUUUGAUAGUAAAAUAAAAAAGAAAAGUUAUUUGAUUUUAGCUCUAAAAUAUGCACAUAUCGCCCGUCGCUCUCGUUAUUAAGAUGAGAUAAGUCGUAACAUAGUAGAUGUACCGGAAGGUGUAUCUGGAAAGA